AGGACUUCAAGCAAAGCAAAACAACGAGUGAGGAGGAAGAGCACUCCUGUCACAGCUGAUUGCUGAAGCAGUUAAGGUUGCCACCAGGACAAUGCUCCAUACCAUGCAGCCAGAUCAAUCAAGGUGUGGAUGGAGGACCAGCAGAUCAAUACCCUGUCAUAGCCAGACCAAUUUCCAGAUAGGAAUUCAAUUGAAAACCUCUGGAAUGUGAUAAAGAGGAAGAUGGAUGGUCACAAGCCAUCAAACAAAGCCAAGCUGCGGGAAUUUUUGCACCAGGUGUAGCAUAAAGUCACCCAACAGCAAUGUGAAAUAUGGGUGGAGAACGUGCCAAGAUACAUGAAUGCUAUGAUUGAAAAUCAGGGUUAUUCCACAAAUAUUGAGUUAGAACAUUAGUAUUGUGUUGUUUAAAAAUGAAUAUGAACUUGUUUUCUUUGCAUUAUUCAAGCUCUUAAAACAUUGCAACUUUUUUGUUGUUUUGAAAAGUUGUCAUUUUCUGCAAAUAAAUGCUCUAAAUGACAAUAUUUGUAUAUGGAAUUUGGUAGUAGUUUAUAGAAUACAACAAAAAUGUUCAUGUUAUUGAAACACAUACCUAUAAAUAGUAAAACCAGAGAAACAUAAUUUUGCAUUUGUCUCUUAUUUUUUUUCCAGAGCUGUAUAAUAUUAGCCUCAACUGUUUAGUGACCUUUACACAGCUGUGCCAUUAUAGCUAAGUUAAAGUAAAAAAAUCAGAAGUUGUCUGGCAUACUUUAUAUAUCUAAGAGAAUUUACAAGUCUGUGGAGCACAGAAACCUUAUUAAAGUUUAUAACAGAGAACAUAUUAAAGAGACAAUUUAAAAUAAAAGACACACUUUAAAAUCAAAAUUUUGUAACUAAACGGACAAUUGCUGUAUUCUGUUAAUCUUAACCACAUUUUACUGGCCAUGUAUGAUAUUGUUUAACUUUAAUUUCCUAAUAAAGCUUCUUUUCAUUUUUUCAA